UCCUACCUCCAACGUAGUAGAUCCAAGCUUUGAUUUCUAUAAAUUAAAAAAAAAAAUGAUUAGUUAUUUUUCUUCAUGACUACAUCGAAAACCAACAGAAUAAAUAGAAGGAAUGAUUUCAACAUUUCAUUUACCUUUUUAAUCCCCUCCAUCGGAACAGCUCUACAAAGAACGAAAGAAAAAUAGAGCUUUUGAGAUUUUGGAUGAAGAAUGCUUUCCAAAUUUUUGACGUUUGAGAAAGUGGAGGGAGAAGGAGUGUUCUUUUGGAGAAAAAUCUGUUCUGAUUGGACAACUUGACUUUGUGGUUCAAAUUUUGGUUGGAAAAUGUGAAACAAUAUCCGGAAAUGACCAAAUUGGUGAGGAUGUUGCCCUUAAUCAUUGAAUUCGUAUUCAUAAUAACAAAGGGCGAAAUAGUCAUUAACGCAAAAAUUGGCUUAGAUGAAUGAGAGAACUUUCAUCAAAAUAAUACCAUUUUACCCCCAAUUGAAGGAGCAACCAAAAACG
rnacentral:lncRNA from 1 species